UAUUUCAGCAAUGUUUUGUAGUUUUCAGAGUGUAAGUCCUGUAUUAUCACUUUGUUAAAUAUUUGGCAAAAGUCACUAGUAAAGUACUGUGGGUCUGCAGUUUUCUUUGUGGGAAGUUUUUUUUUUUUAAAACCUUAUAAAUUCAAUUUAUUUAGUAGAUAUGAGGUUAUUCAAGUGAACUGUUCUUGAGUGACCUUUGCUAUUUUGUGUUUUUCAAGAAAUUUGUCUUUUUUGUUAAAUUUGUUCAAUUGAUUGGCAUCAAGUUAUGCAUAAUAUUCUCUUCUUGUCUUUAGGAUCUGUACUGAUGUCCUUAAAAUUCCCGAUACUGGUAAUUUCUGUCUUUUUUUCUUUUUCUUUCUGAUCAGUCUGAUAAGAGGUUUUUCAUUUUCAUUUAUCUUUUUCAAAUAUGCAGUUUUCAGUUUAAUUUCAUUUCAGUUUCAUUUCACUUUCUCUGUUGUUUUCGUGUUUUCAUUUUCUUUUUUACGGAGGUGAAGAGAGUGUGUAUUGUGCUAUUGUCAGCCAGAGUGUUCUGUCAAGGUCGAUGAUAUCAGUCACAGACCUUUAAUUAAGACAAGAAGGACCCUCUCAAAGCAACCACACCCAAGGGGCCUCCUCUUCUCAGGACCUGAUGUAGAUACUGAGGGCCUGGCCAAGACUUCAGGGGCCUUGGAGGGCCUCUGUCCGGAGUCUGAGCUGUCCCUGUGACCCACUUUGGCCAACAGAAAGCAGUGACAGUGAUACUGUGUGAUUCCUGAGGAGAGGGCCCAGGGAGCCUUUCAGCCUCCACCUGGGUCUGUUACAACACUUGCUCUGGAAUAAGGCAACCAUCAUGUAAGAAGCCGGAUUCCUCUGAGACUGAGAUGCUAUGGAGAGGCCAAGCUAGCCAUGGGGAAAAUUCACAGGAGAAAGCAAGACAGUCAGCCAGACUGGGAUUGUUCUUGCCAUCCCAGCUGAUACCAGCUAUGAGGGUCAAGAUGCUGCCAUCUUCUCUGUACAAAUGAACCUGCAUAUGACCCUCGCCCUUUCCACCUUUUGACUGUAGCCAUGUGAGACCCCUUCCACCGGCCACCAAGUGACCCCUGAGCCAGUCAAUCCAUAGAACUGUAAUAAAUAAAAAAUAAUUUCUUUUCGA